AUGAGAUCCGAUCUUGGUGAGUUCAUGGAUCGGUUGAACUUGGAAGAUGAAGUCUUUGAUGAUCUGGUGAUUGAUGAGAACGACCCCAAGAUCAAUGAAAGCGUCAGGUUGCUAGCCCUAGCUAGGGUACACACGGACAAAACCUUUAGCCCGACGGCCUUCUACAAGGAUAUGCGGGCGUCGUGGAAUCCUGCACAACACGUGAAUUUCCGUCCGGUUGGCCCAAACCUGUUCGUUGUUCAGGUUGCGUGCCUCGGCGACUGGGAAUGGAUGAUCGAACAAGGCCCCUGGUUGUUUAGAAACUUUUUUGUGUUGAUGUGCCCCUAUGAUGGAUUCACAAAGGCAGAGGAGGUGCCUAUGGUGUUCAUGCCAAUCUGGCUCCAGAUCUACAAACUCCCGGAGGGUUUUUGUAAGAAAGGCAUUGUGGAACAUCUGCUUAGGAAUUCAGGGAAGAUCUUGGAGAUGAGGUUGAAUUGGAACACUCGCGGGGAUUAUGUGAGAAUUAGGGUUUGCCAUGAUGUGCGUCAGCCCCUAACAAAGUUCGUCAGUAUUGUAAGAGGCAAUGAGCGUCUAGUUUUUCUGGUGUGUUAUGAGAAACUUGCUCGAUUUUGCAGCGUCUGCGGCAUUAUUGGCCAUGAGUUCGAAGAGUGUGGUACGGGGAUUCAUGAGGAGAAAGCAAGAAGUAUGGCACGUGGCUAUAUGCUGAUGGCCCUAACAAGCCACGGUCCGAUGGUGCUAUUCGGGGGAGUGAGCAAAAGCCGGACUACACGCCCAGCCGAAGGAACAUGCCACAAAAGCAUGUUCAUCCUAAAACUUUAG
rnacentral:rRNA from 1 species